GGUAAGACAGUGCAGAGGACCCGUCACCUGCCUCCUUCACACGUACAAGGUUUGGAUUUUAGGUCGUAACCAUCCGCAAAGCGUGCGCCUUCCUCACCACCCACGUGCUUCGGUGACCCCUGACUCCUCCGAGGGCUUGGGCGUUGUAAACCCGCGCAGAUGAGGACGGGUUUCCGGGGGUCAAGGAGAGGAUGAGAGUGGAGCUCGGGACACAAGGGUCCCCACUGCCAAAAGCCCGACGAUGUGGUCCUCCGGCCGCUCUAGGCCACGCCUCUCCACUGCGUCCGCUCCGCCCCGCCGGAUUGGCUCUCUCUGUGCCAAUCGGAGGCGGCUUUACCUCGGACCCGCCUCCCGCGCACGCGCUGUAGGCCGAUGUGGGCGGGGCGUCCGGAGGAGGAGGCCAUGCGGGCUCAAGUGUCUGUGAUCCUCCCCGUCCACAAUGCGGAGCCCUGGUUGGACGAGUGCUUGAGGUCUGUUUUGCAGCAGGACUUCGAAGGCUCCAUGGAGCUCUCUGUUUUUAAUGAUGCCAGUAAGGACAAGUCUAUGGCUAUCAUUGAAAAAUGGAAAGUGAAGCUAGAAGGUUCCGGUAUCCUCGUAGUCAUUGGAGGGCACGAUUCUCCUUCUCCCAGAGGAGUCGGAUAUUCUAAAAACCAAGCAAUAGCACAGAGCUCAGGGUCUUACCUGUGCUUUUUGGAUUCGGACGACGUGAUGAUGCCUCAGAGGGUGAGGCUGCAGCUCGAAGCCGCCGUCCGGCACCCAACAAGCCACCGUGUGGAGCAGAAGCAAGGACAGCACCACCACGGGCUACAGAUCGUAGGCUGCCAAGUGAGGAGAGAGCCCCCCAACUCCACGGAGCGCUACACGCGCUGGAUCAACCGGCUGGCGCCUGGGCAGCUGCUCAUGCAGGUCUUCACCUCCAAUGGCCCAACUGUGGUCAUGCCCACCUGGUUCUGCUCGCGAGCAUGGUUUUCUCACGUGGGACCGUUCGACGAGGGCGGGCAGGGCGUGCCCGAGGACCUGCUGCUCUUCUACAACCACCUCAGGAAGGGCGGCGUCAGACGGGUGGACCAGAGCCUGCUCCUCUACCGCUACCACCCCAGCGGGGCCACGCACUCCGUGCUUGAGUCCACCAUCUGGACCCACCGAGUCCGCUUCCUGGAAGAGCGGGCUUUGCCACACUGGGCAACCUUCACUAUCUGGAACGCAGGCAAGCAGGGCCGCCGGCUCUACCGCAGCCUCACAGCAGAGGCGAGGCGCAAGGUGGUUGCCUUCUGCGACGUAGACGAGAACAAGAUCAAGAAGGGCUUUUACUGCUAUGAGGACUCUCAGGAAAAGCCCAAGCCCCGGGUGCCCAUCCUGCACUUCCGAGCCGCCCGCCCGCCCUUCGUCAUCUGCGUGAAGCUGAGAGGGAGAGAGCGCUACAUUAAUGAUGAGAGAAUCAGAGUGGUUGUCAUUUAAAUACGCGUAGCAGCGCCCAGUAGUAGCAGGAGGAGGAGGAGCAUGACGGCCCAGGUGGGCAUAGCCAGGCCGGUUCCCGCGCUGGCCUGACCCACGCAUGACACCAAGGGGAACGAACAUGGACCUUACUGGGGGUGCAUUUGAGGACAACCUGAGGUCGCUGCACCUGCAGGAGGGCCGGGACUUCCUUCACUUCAGCUGACAGACCACAGCAGCCAUGGAGUCCUGCACGUGACAAGGGAUCGGGGGCCGUCGGGAAGGACAGCCAUGUGGCCGUGUGGCAAUGGCAGACCCCACGUGGGAGACCUUCACCUGGCGGGGGGGCAGGAGGGGUGUGUUCUGAUGGGGUGGGAUCCACACCCUCACCGGGCACCUGACACGUGCCCACACACCAUGGCCUCUUCUGAGAACAUUCGCCACGUGGAGUGUCUGCGUGUGGGCACUGCCAUGGCGCCGUCUGGGUGGGCGUGCGCUCACCCGUCAAAGUGAGCACCCUGGGGUGCAGCUACUGCGCUUGACCUCAGGAGACGGGUGGGAGUCAGACCGCCUGGCAAGAACUGCUGUGCUCAGCACCCGGUGGCGGGGCAUCGGGCAGCAGAGGGCAAGGGGCUCAGGGGCCUGCCGGGGGCUGUGGCGGGAAGGGGGGCACAUCUGGUUUCCUCUGGUUGGUCUCAGUUGUAAACGGAGCAAAAAUUAGGGGAGCUGGCAGUUACUGCCCACUCCCGGGGAUGGACUGGCUGCUGCAGGCACUGGGCAGGAGCUGAGGUUGUAUGGCUGGUCUGGCAUCGUCUGCGUCCAGCCUCCCAGUCCUAGGACCCCACCCCUCCCAGUGGCCCCACCCAGGCCAGGAGAACAAGUCCCAAAGAGCUUUUCCCUAAAUGUGGGGUCUCCUGGUCCCGCGUUCCUCCUCACAUCUGAGACCUUCUGCUCAACCCUUUCCUGCUGAUGUCCAUCCACAAGGAGACAGCUUGUCGUCACACCUGGAAAGGGUUUGCACAGGACUGUCCCCACAGCAAAGACCCAUCCAGCCCCGAUGUCAACAGUGAAAAACCAGCCACAGGCUGGAGAGCCCGUCCUACCUACGGUUUGGCUUUGCUCUCCUUGAAUCCCUUCCACUCGGCGCUCAGUCCUGCCACGUGGAGUCGUGUCCUCAGCACCAGGGCAAGCUGAUCCAGCCUCUCAACUCGGCCGCUGGGACUCGGGCAGCAGGGGCGCCACCGUGUGCACAGCUAGCGGGGGAGCCCGUCCUGUGUGGACCGUUGGGCUUCUGCAUCGAGGACGGCUGCCUCCCAACAAGGGCGGGCGCCUGCACGGUCCGCACCCCCGCCCCCGGGACAGGUCCCUCCUCUCAGGCGUCUCCUGACUCUGCCUACACGUUUCCCGGCUGUUCUUCCCGACAGUUUCUGCGGGUCUUCCUGUCCGCGUUCUCUCCUCAGCGGUGUCCACCAGGUUGUUUAAUCCAUGGAGCAGUUUGUCGUUAAGCUCUUCUUGAUAAACUCAUUUUAUAUUUUGUA